rnacentral:lncRNA from 1 species
AUGACUCCAUUGUGCCUCCUGGAGCGGGCAGCACAGACGCGUGACCCGGCUCUGGGCGCCUGGGCUCCAGCUGCUGUGACCUGCAGCCUAAUGGGCCCUCGAGGUACAGCCAAGUUCGGGCCAGGCCCAGUAAAAUAUCCCAUUCAAUCCCACUGCCUCACAGGAGUAAUGAAGACAACUUGUCUACUAGCCAAAGACACUUUCCUUGUCAUCACAGGACUGGCCUCCCCACUUCCAGGGGAGGGAGGAGCGAAACACUGGACCCAGAGCAGAUUCUGCGGCAAAUCCCUGGGCGGAAGGAUCCAGCUUUGUUUUGCUGUUAGUCUGAGAAGAGCAAACAGGACACACUCAUAAAGACAGAAAUAACACACACUGGAAAGGGCACGAGGGGCAGGAGGAGGGAGCUGCGAGAAAAGUGAGACAAAUCAAAAUUAUGCAAG